rnacentral:rRNA from 1 species
GGAAUUUUCCGCAAUGGGCGAAAGCCUGACGGAGCAAUACCGCGUGAGGGAUGACGGCCUGUGGGUUGUAAACCUCUUUUCUCAAGGAAGAAGUUCUGACGGUACUUGAGGAAUAAGCAUCGGCUAACUCUGUGCCAGCAGCCGCGGUAAUACAGAGGAUGCAAGCGUUAUCCGGAAUCACUGGGCAUAAAGCGUCUGUAGGUGGUUUGGUAAGUCUGCUGUUAAAGACUGGGGCUCAACCCCAGAAAAGCAGUGGAAACUGCUAGACUUGAGUGUGGUAGAGGUAGAGGGAAUUCCUAGUGUAGCGGUGAAAUGCGUAGAUAUUAGGAAGAACACCAAUGGCGAAGGCACUCUACUGGGCCAUAACUGACGCUCAUGGACGAAAGCCAGGGGAGCGAAAGGGAUUAGAUACCCCUGUAGUC